AACGAACGCUGGCGGCAGGCUUAACACAUGCAAGUCGAGCGCCCCGCAAGGGGAGCGGCAGACGGGUGAGUAACGCGUGGGAACAUACCCUUUGGUUCGGAAUAACUCAGGGAAACUUGAGCUAAUACCGGAUACGUCCGUAAGGAGAAAGAUUUAUCGCCAAAGGAUUGGCCCGCGUCCGAUUAGCUAGUUGGUGAGGUAACGGCUCACCAAGGCUACGAUCGGGGUANCUGGUCUGAGAGGACGACCAGCCACACUGGGACUGAGACACGGCCCAGACUCCUACGGGAGGCAGCAGUGGGGAAUAUUGGACAAUGGGCGAAAGCCUGAUCCAGCAAUGCCGCGUGAGUGAUGAAGGCCUUAGGGUUGUAAAGGCUCUUUUUACCCGAGGUGAUAAUGACAGUACCUGGAGAAUAAGCUCCGGCUAACUCCGUGCCAGCAGCCGCGGUAAUGUGUGACUGU
rnacentral:rRNA from 1 species